rnacentral:tRNA from 1 species
GGAGAGGUGUCCGAGUGGUUGAAGGAGCACGCUUGGAAAGCGUGUAGCCGGGCAACCGGCUCGUGGGUUCGAAUCCCACCCUCUCCGCCA